AUUGAACGCUGGCGGCAGGCCUAACACAUGCAAGUCGAGCGUGAAAGUCCUUCGGGAUGAGUAAAGCGGCGGACGGGUGAGUAACGCGUAGGAAUCUACCUGAUAGUGGGGGAUAACGUUUCGAAAGGAACGCUAAUACCGCAUACGUUCUGAGGAAGAAAGCAGGGGCUCGCAAGACCUUGCGCUAUCAGAUGAGCCUGCGUCCGAUUAGCUAGUUGGUGGGGUAAAGGCCUACCAAGGCGACGAUCGGUAACUGGUCUGAGAGGAUGAUCAGUCACACUGGAACUGAGACACGGUCCAGACUCCUACGGGAGGCAGCAGUGGGGAAUAUUGGACAAUGGGGGGCAACCCUGAUCCAGCCAUGCCGCGUGUGUGAAGAAGGCCUUC
rnacentral:rRNA from 1 species